UUCCCUAAUUACAUUGCUUGAUUCCUGGGCCUUAUCUCCUGGUGUCGUUGAUUUGGGAUCGAGAACAUCAGGAGUCGCGUUCCAGACGUCGAUCCUUACGUCCCGCGCCUCGACCUGAUCCACGAUUCGGAUCGAAGUUUCCGGAUCGAGAAACGGCCCUACAUCCCGCGUUCCGGGCUGCUAUGGUCCAACCAACCGUGAUUGUCCCACCACCCCCAAUUAUGUGCUUUGUUCCGUCGCUGCACCUCCGCCCUCGCUAAGUAACCGCAGCCUUCAUUCCCCUCUCAUGUAUAGCCAAAACGGCAGCCAGCACACCUGAAUUCUUGGGGACUUUGGGUCGGUCGCUCUAUUUAGUCCUUUCUUCCACGUGGUUCUUCCUCACCCCUGCGUCUGCCGACAACUGCCGGAUUCCAGGAGCCACUCCAAGCAGCAAGCAGAAUUAUCUCGGAUUUCUGUGCAAUUGAUUUCAUCCAUAUCAGCGAAAUCUGUCCUGACGGUUAUGGCUUUGCGGGGUGUUCUACAGUAUCCUCUCACCUGUGUGCAUGGAGUCACUCAUCUAAACUGUGUGUUGAUCGAACAGCCGCAAUAUAUAUCUUCAACUCCUUUAAUUGGAUCCAGUUAACCUCCGUUUGGUGCUUCUACGGUUCUAUAUGGCUCAAGCUUGAAUUUAUUUUUAAUAUAUACAUUAGGAUGAAGUCCUUCCUUUUGGCCAGUGAUGCUAUUUGCAUUGUGGUGUUAACAUUUUUUUUGUCAUCUCAUACAUAUUGUACGAUUGAGCAGGUUCUCAUUCAACGAGAAGAGAGAAGCAUGUGCAGUGAAGAAUUUUGAGGUGCAGAAGUAGAAUCUUCUUUUGCCCCCGUUUUACAAUUUUGGAUUCCCUUUUGUUAAUCCUUUAUUACAUGUUCUGUCAUGCUUUGUUCUCUCCUCAGCACCUAAUAAGUUUAUGCCAAAUAUGUGUAGAUUGAGAAAGUGUUUGUAUGUCAAACUCUCUGGUUUUCUGCUCUACACGUAUGACAUAUGUAGUCUUUGUUGUUCUAAUAUAUGGAACAUUUAUCUUUACGAGAUCUCGGCUUUGUGCAUUGUUGAAUUUCAACAGUUUUCUUACUGCUGCACUGAGUACUUUGAAAUCAUAUCUAUUCUAAUCUUCUUCAUGUGUGUUCUGUUUACUCACUGUAUAAUGAGGCGCCCUUUUACCUCAUGUACAGACGAUGCACUUUCUACCUGGAUUGGGUUUCUCCAAUCACAUAUUAUCAUACCAAAUUUAUGAUAUUUAUCAUGAUUUAUGUCUUAUGCUCAUUUUCCCUUUGUUCUAACUUCAUUCUUGGUAAAAAAAAAUUGUUCUGAGUUU